GAAGGAUAUAUAAUUUGUGCAGUUGGAAACUGGUAAAGCUGGCCACUGGGAUAUCAGAAAGUGACUGCAUCAUAGGGACUAUUUGCUGUCAGUAGUCUGCUUAAGCUGAAAGCAUUAGACCCGAACACAGCACUUGAUCAAAUUGCUUCUCUAGCUGAUGAGUUAUUUGCAUCUGCUGUUGUAUCCAAGUAAGCAACAAGCUUCAUUAAAGUAACUGUUAAACGACCCACAGCUAUUGUUUGAUUGUUUGUGUUCCCUUAAGUAGUGAUUUUUCUUAAGUAGGAGAGUAUGUAAAUCUGGUGACUUGUACAGUUUGGUAUCAUGUAUGCUUGAACAUAACGUACUGAUAUUUUGAGAAAACUAAGGACAACU
rnacentral:misc_RNA from 1 species